CGGUUAUACCAAGAGGUCAAGUUAUAUUUUUAAGGUAAAAAUGUAGUUAAAUGUAGAAUAGAUUAGUUUGAUGAUUUUUUAUAAGAAAGUGAAAUUUAAAUAUAAAAGAAUAAACCAAAAAUAACUUAAUAGAUUGAAUCUACGAUAACUUUGAGGGAAACUGGGAUUUGAUACCCCAUUAUUCUAAGUUGUAAAUUAAUUUAAAGUUUACCAGAGUACUAUGAAUAGCUUUUAAAUUUAAAACUCAAAGGGCUUGGCGGUGUUUUAGACCUCUUAGGGGAACCUGUCUCGUAAUCGAUGAUCCACGUUAGACCUGACCUUUUUUUGCUAUCAGUUUAUACACCGUUGUCAUCAGGUAACUUUUUAAAAAAAUUAAGUUAGCAAUAAAAUUGAUAAUAAAUUAAGAUGUCAAAUCAAGGUGCAGCUUAUAAAAAGGAGAUGAUGGGUUACAAUUAAAAUUUAUAAGAUGGAUUAAAUAAUGAAAUUUAUUUAUGAAAUAGGACUUAAAAGUAAAAUAAUGUAUAUAAAUAAUUUGAAUUAGGCUCUGAAAUGUGUACUAACCCCCG
rnacentral:rRNA from 1 species